rnacentral:rRNA from 1 species
AGAACGAACGCUGGCGGCAUGCCUAACACAUGCAAGUCGAACGCUUCCGGGGCUUCGGUCGCGGAGGAGUGGCGCACGGGUGAGUAGCGCGUGGGAACCUGCCCUGUUGUGGGGGAUAACCGAGGGAAACUUCGGCUAAUACCGCAUACGCCCCGGGACUUGGUCUUCGAAUUAGGUCUGGGGGGAAAGAUUGAUCGCAGCAGGAGGGGCCCGCGUCGGAUUAGCUGGUUGGUGGGGUAACGGCUCACCAAGGCGAUGAUCCGUAGCUGGUCUGAGAGGAUGAUCAGCCACACUGGGACUGAGACACGGCCCAGACUCCUACGGGAGGCAGCAGUGGGGAAUAUUGGACAAUGGGGGCAACCCUGAUCCAGCAAUGCCGCGUGAGUGAUGAAGGCCUUAGGGUUGUAAAGCUCUUUCGCCCGCGACGAUGAUGACGGUAGCGGGAGAAGAGCCCGGCUAACUUCGUGCCAGCAGCCGCGGU